rnacentral:rRNA from 1 species
GCCUGCCCACUGAGGGUAUUUAAAGGCCGCGGUAUUAUGACCGUGCGAAGGUAGCAUAAUCAUUAGUCUUUUAAUUGAGGGCUGGUAUGAAGGGUCGGACGAGAAAUGAGCUGUCUUAAAUUUUGAAAAUUGAAUUUAACUUUUAAGUGAGAAGGCUUAAAUAGGCUAGGGGGACGAUAAGACCCUAUAAAGUUUGACACUAAAUUAAUUAGGGGUGAUUUAGACAGUAAAGUCUUAUUAUUAUAUAAGUGUUUAGUUGGGGCGACUAGGAUAUAAGUUAUUUAACUGUUUCUUCAUUCGAAUCAAAAAUUUUUGAUUUUAUGGUCCUUUUUUAGGAUAUUAGAGUAAAUUACUUUAGGGAUAACAGCGUAAUUUUUUUUGAGAGUUCUUAUCGAUAAGAGAGUUUGCGACCUCGAUGUUGAAUUAAAAUUUCUUUGUAAUGCAGCAGUUACAAGAGAGGGUCUGUUCGACCUUUAAAUUUUUACAUGAUUUGAGUU